rnacentral:lncRNA from 1 species
GUUCAGUUUAUUUAAAAAAGAAUUCAAUGGAAGAAAAUAAGCUGAUUACUGAAGUAAAUGUAGAAUAUGUCUAUUAAUCACAGAUGCCCCUGCUUGUGAAAAAAAUGAGUAAACUUCCACAUAUAGAUGCAGGAUUCGCGUAAUUUUGACCGUUUUGUGACCAUAAGCAUUGUGAAUAAGUUUCAAAACAUUUGGCUGAGGCAA